rnacentral:rRNA from 1 species
GUGUCUUCGGACGCCGGCGUACGGCUCAGUAACACGUAGGUAACCUACCCUCAGGACUGAGAUAACCCCGGGAAACUGGGGCUAAUAUUAGAUAGAUAAAAGAUACUGGAAUGUUCUUUUAUCCAAAGCUUUUGCGCCUGAGGAUGGGCCUGCGUCCGAUUAGGUUGUUGGUGGGGUAAUGGCCCACCAAGCCUACGAUCGGUACGGGCAGUGAGAGCUGAAGCCCGGAGUUGGGGACUGAGACAAGGCCCCAGGCCCUACGGGGCGCAGCAGGCGCGAAACCUCUGCAAUGCGGGAAACCGUGACAGGGGGAUCCCAAGUGCUCAUGCAUUGCAUGGGCUGUUCUUUGGUCUAAGUAACCAGAGGAGUAAGGGCUGGGCAAGACCGGUGCCAGCCGCCGCGGUAAUACCGGCAGCUCAAGUGGUAGCCGCGAUUAUUGGGCCUAAAGC